rnacentral:rRNA from 1 species
GACGAACGCUGGCGGCGUGCUUAACACAUGCAAGUCGAACGGAAAGGCCCUGCUUUUGUGGGGUGCUCGAGUGGCGACCGGGUGAGUAACACGUGAGUAACCUGCCCUUGACUUUGGGAUAACUUAAGGAAACUGGGGCUAUUACCGGAUAGGAGCUCCUGCUGCAUGGUGGGGGUUGGUAGGUUUCGGCGGUUGGGGAUGGACUCGCGGCUUAUCGGCUUGUUGGUGGGGUAGUGGAUGACCAUGGCUUGGACGCGUAGCCGGCCUGGGAGGGGGAGAGGACCAGUCGGGACUGGGAUAAGGCACAGCCCAGUACCGGAGGGAGGGGUGGGGAAGGGUGCACUAGGGGCGGGAGGCAGAUGCAGCAAAGCCGCGUGCGGGAAGACGGGCUUGGGGUUGUAAACCGCUGUUGUUUUAGACGAAGUGUGAGUGACGGUACCGGGUAAAGAAGCACCGGCUAACUACGUG